GCCCCGUUAGCGUAGUGGUGUAUCGCAUCUGUCUUGUAUCUUGCGAAACAGAAGGUCCGUCGUUCGACUCGGCGACGGGGCA